rnacentral:rRNA from 1 species
GAUGAACGCUAGCGACAGGCUUAACACAUGCAAGUCGAGGGGCAGCAUAAAAGUAGCAAUACUUUGGUGGCGACCGGCGCACGGGUGAGUAACGCGUAUGCAACCUACCUAUCAGAGGGGAAUAACCCGGCGAAAGUCGGACUAAUACCGCAUAAAACAGGGACACCGCAUGGUGAUAUUUGUUAAAGAAAUUCGCUGAUAGAUGGGCAUGCGUUUCCAUUAGGUAGUUGGUGAGGUAACGGCUCACCAAGCCGAGAUGGAUAGGGGAACCUGAGAGGUUGGUCCCCCACACUGGUACUGAGACACGGACCAGACUCCUACGGGA